GCAGCUGGUAAGAGAGCCUAUCAGGGAAGGAGCCCUGCUAGACCUGCUGUUCACAGAGAAGGACUGGUGGGAGAUGUGGAGGUCAGGAGCUGUCCUGGACAGAGUGACCACUGAAAGGUUCAUGGCUCAGGCAGCACCAAUACCUCUGAAAUUCAGAAUGUAUCCGUUCCAAUCUGGGGAGUGGGUCUAUCAAUGGACCUGGAGCUUCAAACCACUAGAGGAGAAAUGGAAAGGACUAUAUCAAAUAUUACUGACAAAGAACGAAGAAAGUGCCCAGCCCACAGCAGCAAGUGGAACAGACUGCACCAAUGAAACAGAAACCUUUGCAUAAACGAACAAAACUUACAGAUGGGAAACAGAAAAUUGUAUUAUCAACUUGCAGUUGUCAAAGAUUAAUUAUCUUUAGUGUAACAGUGAUUGUUUGCCUUACAUUAUUCAUAUUAAUUGUUUACUAAACUUUUUAGCAGUACUUAAGGGUUAUACUCCAUUUGUUUAAAUUGAUAAUGGUAAUAUUUGUAGUUAAUUACCUACGCUUACCAAUUAGAUGCAUAAGAUCAAAAUAAACAUAUGAAGUUGAUGAAAAA